CUGCGAUGAUGUUGUUUCUUAGGACACCUUUGGAUUAAUCAUGAAAACAAUUACUCUCUGAGCAGC
ensembl:snoRNA SNORD58 Small nucleolar RNA SNORD58